ACCUGUGUAACGUAAUACGUUACAUGUUUAAUAAAUAGACCUUAAGAGCUACUACUUAUCUAAUUAAAAAUAUAUUAACAACUCUAAACUAUAUUACACACUAAUAUAUACAACAAUACUGUUUUAAACUAUGUAUUUAGGAUUAUAAAAUCAUCUUCACGCUGAUUAAUUUGAAUAUGUCGCGCCAUAGUUAUUACAUUCACUCACAUUAAUGUUACAUUCGCGAGUGCAUGAAUGAAGUGCAUUGAUCGGUGCGCUUUGUCAUCGCGCGCCGCCGCUCGCUCAUUCAUUCUACCUUUGAAGUUGAGUGGAACGCACGUCGCUUAAAUAUCGAUCUCUGCUACGGUUUGAAAUAACGAAUCCGUAAUCGAAUUUUGACUUCGUCCCUACGUGUUCCUCGACUAUUAUAAAAUCACUGUGGUGUUUAAUUAUGUUUUUAAGUGUACCCCGAAUUGGGGUCCAAAGUCCAGAGUGACUUUUUAUUGGCUUCCUGCUUGCCGCCCGCUUGCCGUUUUGCUACUGGCGUGCUUCUGGCCCUUUCCCCGACUCAGCGCCACGAAGUUGCAGCUGCGCUGAACUCAGCGCUGACCAGAAAAAUCGGCGCCUACCACCUCGGCACCGUCAGGGGAGUACUCUGGCUACGAACGACUUGCGGAAUCCGAUCUUGCAUAGUAUUAGCGCGAACCACGCUAUUAUACCCAUUUUUACCAACUGAGCUGGUUGUGGAAAUAAAUAUUUUGAGCGUU